ensembl:lncRNA
AUGGAGGCAGGGGUGGGGGAAAAAGAAGGGAAGAGAGAUGUAUGGUACCAAGUGCUUGGCACCCUCCCUGGCUGCAUAGCUCUCACUUUGUGGCCUCAAAAGCUCAAGAGUGGUCCAGGGCUUAGUGAGGUCCAGACAAUGGUCACAGGUAGCCAUUGCAUUUGUGUUGGGGCUCCUGGGUGUUUGUGUACAGUUCAUGGACUUCAUGCCGCCUUCCCACACGCUGGGCCAUGGCAUAUCCAUCUUUCUUACGAGGAAUGCCUCACUGGGCCAAUGGGCGAGCCCAGUUCAGUGGCAAUGCAAUGGUCAUUUAUUCAACAUUUGAGAAGGGUGUGUGUGAAAGCUGUGCUCACCCACCACACAGUCAGUCCCAUCCCUUGCUCCCCCAUGGAGAGUGACGAUCCCAGGCAAAGAGCCUUUGCCGUCUGUGGGGUCUGUCUGUACACCCUGGACUCCUGCUUUUCCAAGAUCCCAGCUCUAUAGAAAGCUUCUCUAGACCUCAGGGGCCUUCUCCUCCUCACCCUUUAUGCACAGAAGAAGAGGGGCGUGAUAACAGAGGGUCAAAGGCUACUGUGCCUCCACCCCCCUCCCAUGUUGAGGAAGAAUGUUUUUAUGAUGCCUGAAUUAUGGCAGCUUUCUUGCGAUUAUUAGGGCUGAGGUACUAAGGACACAACAGUCAUUUCCCCUGCAGCCCUUGUUUCAAACAGCAUCUUUUGGCUCAGGUGCUGCUUCUCAGCAAACCUACUUUAGAACAGGUGAUACUGAGCGCCAGAUAAACCUGCUUUGGGUUGUGCCACUAAGAGCCUUACAAUGCUUGUUCCUAUGUCGACACUUUCCCCUUUGAUUUGCUCUUAAACGUAGGUAUAGGAAUGAUGGCCUUUAAAAAAAAACACACAGAUCUAUUCCGUUGCCAAGCGAGUCUUGAACUUUUGCUUUCUGGAUUUGGUUUGGGUGGCAGGGCUAAAGACAAAAUUCCUGGCACCCCUGACUGCUCUGGGAUCCAGUGCCUAACUUUCCUCCUUCUCCAUUUGGAAUGUAAAUGAAUGUCUGCAGGGGAAUGAAAAUUUGAUGUAGAAUCUGCCAGUCUCUCGAAGCAAGGGUUUCUGCUUUAAAACUGAUUUGAUUUCAUGGAAGAAACAAAGCCUAAUUUUGAGAAACAUGUUUGCCAAUUUGUGAAAUUCUCUAAUUAGGCACUCACAAAAUCAAAUGGUAGCCCUUAAGACAUCUCCCAUAUGUUCCUUUGGGUGCGACAUCAAACAUUGUCAUGAAAUGCCUUGGGGUUUUGUGCUUCAUCCACUGACAUCAUGAAAUACAGCGAUUGAAGGGCUUUCCCUCUUCCCACAAACACCCCCUUGCCAAUCAUGAUCCAAAGAUUCUUUUAGAACAAAACUGUCAGGUUACUUUGGACUGAAGGGCAAAACCAUUUGGCCCUGAGGUCAGCAUCUCAGGUUAGCUGGAUGCCCAUCUGCACGUACAGACUCAUGUGCUCAGAAUCUUCCCUCUUCCAAAUGCCAGAUGCAGGGGAAGGGUACCUGAAGACAGGGAUCUAGUUGUCUCGUGUGCUCCCAGAGGCAUCUAAUGGGGGCAACUGUGAGAUACAGGAAGCUGGACUAGAUGGGCCCUCGGCCUGAUCCAGCAGGGCUUGUCUUAUGUUCUUAUGCUACAUCUCAGCAUCCAGAAGGAGGGAGAUUUUACACCUCCCCUCCCUACACCGGAGAUCUAGUGACUGCUGGAGGGUGGAGGACACCAAAACCUUCUCCUGUUGUCUCAGAAGCUACAGAACAGUGUUCUUUUCCACUCCCCACAACCCAGCUCAUCAGGGAAAAAGGAUUGCCCCCACCGUAUUGGGAGCUGUACUGGGGCUGCAUGUGUUUCCUGGCUGGACGCUGUACACCCCCUUCUGCAGAGUCUUUGAAAACAGUGUGGUGCAAAAUCCCUUUGUUGUGUUUGAGACAUCAAAGCUGACAUGAUAAUAAAUAAAAAUGUGUCAAAGUCA